rnacentral:rRNA from 1 species
CGGACGGGUGAGUAAUACGUAGGAAUUUUCCCUUAAAGAGGGGGAUAACCCGAGGAAACUCGGGCUAAUACCGCAUAAGCUCUUAGGAGUAAAGCCGGGGAUCUUCGGACCUGGCGCUUUAGGAUAAGCCUACGUCGGAUUAGUUUGUUGGUAGGGUAAUGGCCUACCAAGACUACGAUCCGUAGCUGGUCUGAGAGGAUGAUCAGCCACACUGGGACUGAGACACGGCCCAGACUCCUACGGGAGGCAGCAGUGGGGAAUAUUGGACAAUGGGCGAAAGCCUGAUCCAGCAAUGUCACGUGUGUGAAGAAGGCCUUCGGGUUGUAAAGCACUUUCAGCGAGGAGGAGAUACUCAAAGUUAAUAGCUUUGAGAGAUGACGUUACUCGCAGAAGAAGCACCGGCUAACUCUGUGCCAGCAGCCGCGGUAAUACAGAGGGUGCGAGCGUUAAUCGGAAUUACUGGGCGUAAAGCGCACGUAGGUGGAUAAUUAAGUCAGAUGUGAAAGCCCUAGGCUCAACCUAGGAAUUGCGUUUGAUACUGGUUGUCUAGAGUUUGGUAGAGGGAAGUGGAAUUUCCGGUGUAGCGGUGAAAUGCGUAGAUAUCGGAAGGAACACCAGAGGCGAAGGCGACUUCCUGGGCCAAUACUGACACUGAGGUGCGAAAGCGUGGGUAGCAAACAGGAUUAGAUACCCUGG